rnacentral:rRNA from 1 species
UGGGAUAUAAAUGUGAUAUUUUGUUAUUAUAAUAUAUUAGAUUAGUAUUAUGUGUGAGAAUUGUGGUGUUUUUAUAGUAUAAGAGUACUUUUUAGGAAUUAUUUUAUUUUUAUUAAAUUUAGGUUUUUUAAUACCUUUUGUAUUAGGGAUCUUUAAUGUGGAUAAAUAUUAAUUUUUUCUCGAUGAAUAUUGGGCUAUCUAAUUUUAUUUUAUUUUCGUUGCAUAGAGAUUAUUAAGGGUUAGAUAGUUAUGAAAUAUUAUUCAAGAUGUUUUAUAUCUAGUUUUUCUAGAAUUAUAAUGGGGUGUAUGUUUAUUUAUGAUGCAAAUAGGGAUUAGCUUAUUUGUAAUUUAUAUGUUUUUUUGUUGUGAUUUAUUUGUGAAGUUAAAAGUUCUUACUAUUAUGGUGUUAUUACUAAAUAAAAAUUUUUUAUAAUUUUUUUGUUUUAUAUUAAGAUAGGGAAUAUUAUAUUAAUUUUGAGUGUGAUGAUAUAAUGAUGAUAUUAGUAAUAUUGGUAUUUGUAAUUUAAGUUUUGAAUUAAUUUGGUUAGUUAGAAUGGUUGGUUAUUAAUGAUGAAGAAUUAGGCAAAGAUUAACCUUUGACUGUUUAGCAAAAACAUUGUUUUUUGUAAUAAAAUAAAAAAUAAGUUCUGCCCACUGUUGUAUAAUGAAGGGCUGCAGUAUUUUGACUGUAUGAAGGUAGCAUAAUCAUUAGCUUUUUAAUUAGGAGCUGGUAUGAAGGGGAAACAGAGGUUUGCUAUUUUAUUUUUAGGUAAUGAAUUUUAUUUUUAUGUGAAAAAUCAUGAUUGAAAUAAUGGGACAAGAAGACCCUAGUAAGUUUUAUUUUUUAUCUUUAAUGCAUAUAUAGGAAUAAAAAUUUAUGUAAUUUAUUAUAUUUGGUUUAACUGGGGCGGUGUGUUAUUAAACAUAAUUUAUUUUUUAACUUAUUUGGUGGCGAUAAGGUAGACCUAGGAGGUUUAGUUGAGUGUAAAAUUACUGUAGGGAUAACAGCGUAAUUUUUUUUAAGAGUUCUUAUUAACAAAAAAGUUUGCGACCUCGAU